GAUGAACGCUGGCGGCGUGCCUAAUACAUGCAAGUCGAGCGAACGGACGAGAAGCUUGCUUCUCUGAUGUUAGCGGCGGACGGGUGAGUAACACGUGGAUAACCUACCUAUAAGACUGGGAUAACUUCGGGAAACCGGAGCUAAUACCGGAUAAUAUGUUGAACCGCAUGGUUCAAAAGUGAAAGACGGUCUUGCUGUCACGUAUAGAUGGAUCCGCGCUGCAUUAGCUAGUUGGUAAGGUAACGGCUUACCAAGGCAACGAUGCAUAGCCGACCUGAGAGGGUGAUCCGCCCCACUGGAACUGGGACACGGUCCAGACUCCUACGGGAGGCAGCAGUAGGGAAUCUUCCGCAAUGGGCGAAAGCCUGACGGAGCAACGCCGCGUGAGUGAUGAAGGUCUUCGGAUCGUAAAACUCUGUUAUUAGGGAAGAACAUAUGUGUAAGUAACUGUGCACAUCUUGACGGUACCUAAUCAGAAAGCCACGGCUAACUACGUG
rnacentral:rRNA from 1 species